GACGAACGCUGGCGGCGUGCUUAACACAUGCAAGUCGAACGGAAAGGCCCUGCUUUUGUGGGGUGCUCGAGUGGCGAACGGGUGAGUAACACGUGAGUAACCUGCCCUUGACUUUGGGAUAACUUCAGGAAACUGGGGCUAAUACCGGAUAGGAGCUCCUGCUUCAUGGUGGGGGUUGGAAAGUUUCGGCGGUUGGGGAUGGACUCGCGGCUUAUCAGCUUGUUGGUGGGGUAGUGGCUUACCAAGGCUUUGACGGGUAGCCGGCCUGAGAGGGUGACCGGCCACAUUGGGACUGAGAUACGGCCCAGACUCCUACGGGAGGCAGCAGUGGGGAAUAUUGCACAAUGGGCGGAAGCCUGGUGCAGCAACGCCGCGUGCGGGAUGACGGCCUUCGGGUUGUAAACCGCUUUCGCCUGUGACGAAGCGUGAGUGACGGUAAUGGGUAAAGAAGCACCGGCUAACUACGUG
rnacentral:rRNA from 1 species